UUCAAAGGGAAGAAGCGUCGAUAGUGGCUCCCAAGGUGGCCAAAACCUGUUAUGUGCAGAGCUGAAACAAUUUCGGAAGCAAGAAGGUUGCGUAUAGGUUACGCUCUCGAGCCGAAGAAAGUCCAUAGCUUCAUAACUCAAUCUCUUGUAAGUCAUACCCAAAAUCAAGGUACCGACCUCUUUCAGUUGAAUGAAUUCUCCUCCCAAAACCCUAGCGUCGUCAUAAUCGAUU
rnacentral:lncRNA from 1 species